CUUACCAUGCAGUCGAACGGCAGCACGGGAGCAAUCCUGGUGGCGAGUGGCGAACGGGUGAGUAAUACAUCGGAACGUGUCCUGGAGUGGGGGAUAGCCCGGCGAAAGCCGGAUUAAUACCGCAUACGCUCUGAGGAGGAAAGGGGGGGAUCUUAGGACCUCUCGCUCAAGGGGCGGCCGAUGGCAGAUUAGCUAGUUGGUGGGGUAAAGGCCUACCAAGGCGACGAUCUGUAGCUGGUCUGAGAGGACGACCAGCCACACUGGGACUGAGACACGGCCCAGACUCCUACGGGAGGCAGCAGUGGGGAAUUUUGGACAAUGGGCGCAAGCCUGAUCCAGCAAUGCCGCGUGUGUGAAGAAGGCCUUCGGGUUGUAAAGCACUUUUGUCCGGAAAGAAAACACGCCUGUUAAUACCGGGUGUGGAUGACGGUACCGGAAGAAUAAGCACCGGCUAACUACGUGCCAGCAGCCGCGGUAAUACGUAGGGUGCAAGCGUUAAUCGGAAUUACUGGGCGUAAAGCGUGCGCAGGCGGUUCGUUAAGACAGAUGUGAAAUCCCCGGGCUUAACCUGGGAACUGCAUUUGUGACUGGCGGACUCGAGUAUGGCAGAGGGGGGUAGAAUUCCACGUGUAGCAGUGAAAUGCGUAGAGAUGUGGAGGAAUACCGAUGGCGAAGGCAGCCCCCUGGGCCAAUACUGACGCUCAUGCACGAAAGCGUGGGGAGCAAACAGGAUUAGAUACCCUGGUAGUCCACGCCCUAAACGAUGUCAACUGGUUGUCGGGUCUUCAUUGACUUGGUAACGAAGCUAACGCGUGAAGUUGACCGCCUGGGGAGUACGGUCGCAAGAUUAAAU
rnacentral:rRNA from 1 species